rnacentral:rRNA from 1 species
GCCCGCACAAGCGGUGGAGCAUGUGGUUUAAUUCGAUGCAACGCGAAGAACCUUACCUGGCCUUGACAUCCACGGAAUUCGGCAGAGAUGCCUUAGUGCCUUCGGGAACCGUGAGACAGGUGCUGCAUGGCUGUCGUCAGCUCGUGUUGUGAAAUGUUGGGUUAAGUCCCGCAACGAGCGCAACCCUUAUCCUUUGUUGCCAGCGAGUAAUGUCGGGAACUCAAAGGAGACUGCCGGUGACAAACCGGAGGAAGGUGGGGAUGACGUCAAGUCAUCAUGGCCCUUACGGCCAGGGCUACACACGUGCUACAAUGGCGCAUACAAAGAGAAGCGAACUCGCGAGAGCAAGCGGACCUCACAAAGUGCGUCGUAGUCCGGAUCGGAGUCUGCAACUCGACUCCGUGAAGUCGGAAUCGCUAGUAAUCGUAGAUCAGAAUGCUACGGUGAAUACGUUCCCGGGCCUUGUACACACCGCCCGUCACACCAUGGGAGUGGGUUGCAAAAGAAGUAGGUAGCUUAACCUUCGGGAGGGCGCUUACCACUUUGUGAUUCAUGACUGGGGUGAAGUCGUAACAAGGUA